UAUAAAGCUUGGCCAACAAGGCCGCUAUAUUUAUUACAACUGGCAAACCAACCAAAUAUAUAUACAAGGCCUGAAAGCCCAGCAUACUGCACUAACUAACAAGAUAUGUCUACAAGCCUCUACUAAUGGAUAUACUGUGAUAGAAACGGCUAUCCGACCUACUCAUGAUAUAUAUACGUAUAUAUACAAGAUAUACAUAAGGCUCUAGACCCAGAAACUCUGAAAGGCAUGGAGCUUACCAAUCAAGUUGAGUUCGGGCAACACUUAUUGAAGAGGCCUACUCGUCUGUCUGCCUAACCUGCACGCAUGAAAUGCAGCGCCCCCAGAAAAGGGACGUCAGUACGAAAUAAUGUACUGAGUAUGUAAAGCAAUAUACUGAAAGCUGAAACUGAACUGAUAAUAUAAUAACUGCAAGUAGCUGGAAGUCAAACAUAAUCUGAAGAUAUGCUUACGUGCUGAUAAUGACUCAAUUCUCUCAAUAUAGUAAGUAAAAUAGUUGUCCGACCCUAUAAGGCUCGAUAUACAUAUAUAUCUUCUCUGUCGUAGUAGGCUCGCUCAUAAGCGCUCGACCAUACUAGGCUCUGUAUCUCGACUAACUGGGCUCGCUCAUAAGCAUUCGGCCACAGUAGGAUCGUCAUAUAACUUACCAUCUGAUCAGAGGUUGCCCAAUAGGGGCCUGCCCAUCGAUUAUAGCUCGAUGGUAAUGAAAAUACUUUUAAUACUAUAUAUAUAUAUAUAUAACUUCUCUGCUCUCUUGACUNNNNNNNNNNNNNNNNNNNNNNNNNGGAAGAAUGAAAUAUUCAAAUGAAUAUGAAGUCCCUAUAAGAAAAAUAUUAUAACUUACAACACUAGGAAAAUAUACGCAAUUUGCGAGACUAGCAAAAUAUACGUAAAUUCCGGGAUAUGAAUGUAAAGACGAGAUCAUGCCAAAUGAAAGAAGAGCUUAGCUUUAACAUACCUGAGCCGAUUUUCCUGACAAUCCCUUAAAAAUGAGAGCAUGUAAUUGCAAAAUCUAGGCAGUUCCUCAUAAUCGACACAUCUAUGAAGUUAAAGUACAAUGUAAGGUACAUCUGAUUAAUGUAAAUGAAACUACAAGUUUGCUUUGGGAGCCGUAAUUUCCCACUUCCAAAUUUGGCUUGCAUAAUCACAUACACUUGCAUUGUCUUGCUUCUCAAAGACCAGUUCCAUAGCUUCAACAUUAAGGAUAUAACGUCCAAUUGGCAAUGAAUGUCAUUAAAAUGUAUAGAGCUUACCAUAUCCAUCCUGAUUAUUGAGAACUUCCAGUAUGGCUCUAUGGUAAUCAUAUCCUUCCAUGCUUAUAGGAAAUGAAAUAAA
rnacentral:lncRNA from 1 species